rnacentral:lncRNA from 1 species
AAAAAAAAUACUUCAAUAACCAACAAGAGAACACAAAGUUCGAUGACUACAUGAUAGUGUAAGUUAAGUAACUAACAAUAUUCUUAACCCAUUUAUCUCAACUUAACACACUUCUCACAAACCUAGUAUAGACUGAUUUACUUUUUAGUAUUGAUAACUUUUUUUUGUACUUAUGAGGUAGCUCUAAUUUUUUAUAUGUUUUUGCCAAUUCAUUGAAUAACUUCAAAGAGAGGAAAGAGAGGGGAGAAAUUGUAGACACGAUUCCAAACCUUUCAUUUUCUCGUAAACUUUAUCCAAACAUUUUAUUUGCACCACACAAAGUCUCAAACCUUUCAUUUCAUUACAGUAGAAGGAUAGAUAGACAGAUUCAUCGAUUUGAUCGUUAUUUGACCCAAAAAAUAAAAAUCUGGCCUCUUUUGACUAAUAAAAUGAAAGGCAAUAUGGUCUCUUUCAAAUUUUCAACUUUGAAAAAUGGGAAAAAAAAAUAUUUUUGACAGGGCUAGUAGUUCAAAUUUACCAACGGCACACUCCACAUUGAUCUCUACCCACUAGCAAUUCAUUGAUGAACUCUUCCCUUAGGUACUACUCAAUUUACGCCCUCUUUAAGGUUUCCAUUUGCAGCAUUUUAUCUCAUUUAUGGGAAUUUUUUCCAAUUGAUAGGCUGAAGCACGAGAGUUGAUAAUUCAGGAUGUCUCGAAGCUGUAUCAUGUAGCAAAAGCAUUAUGCAGUGCCCAAGAAGAUAUAUUGAAGUAGGAAUUUACUGACCUUCUGCUUUGGAAAUCGUCAUCAUGCGAGCUCAUGGAAGCAUUAACUAAACAAAAGUAGGUUUGUUUUAGGAAUUUGUAUCAUCUAUCUAAGAUAGUCAUUUCUGUUUGACUCAACUAUAGGUGCAAUUAGGGUUUGUGAUUGAUCUCUGUAAAAACUUGUUUCUACAAAUACAACUUUUAAAUAGCCAAUUUGGAUGGAUGGCCAUGUAACAACCCCUAAUCGAUGCAAGUGACAUGACCUGGAUUGUGCUUGUUGAAGUGGAUUAUAAGCGGUUGGAUCAAUCGACAACGAAGAUUAGGUCUUGGUCAAAUAUGACCUUUGGCUUUAGACAUCUCACUUGACUUCCUUUGGCCUUCUGUUGAGUUUGAGUCUUUUCUCUUUGUACUCCCAAUCUUCUCCUUUGUUUUGGUCCAUGAUCUCUUAUGAGAUUCUAAGCAAAAGUCUAAGUAAUCUUUUGUGAUUUAUACUGCUAUAGCAACUCGGGUCUGAAAUAGUGGCUUGUUUGUGCAUCUGUAGAGUGAUUAUGGUUCUAGAGUGAUUCAUGGUUGUGGUUUGCAAUUUAAGAGAUCCAUCUGCAGGUGUAUGACUAAAUCUUGGUCUAAUUUGGUUUAACAUUAUGUAUACUCUCUGUGGAAGGUUUUUGGUUGCACUUAAUGUUUGGGUUGAUAUUUGAGCCCUCUAUAUUAGGCUAUCGCUCAAUUGGGUGAAAAAAUUUUGUGUUUUUUAUUUUUAUUGCUUUAUGCUUGAGUUUAUUUUUCUUCAAAUCUAUUUUCCUGGGACUUUAAGGUUUCUGGGUGUGUGAAUUCUUCCCAAAAAAAAAAAAAAAAAAAA